rnacentral:misc_RNA from 1 species
CCCUUGAUCUUCGAGGGAAGGCUGCAGUUGCUCAAGCAGCUCUGGCAUACCAGCUCUACCAGAAGAAAUUCUCUGGUCCAAGAUGGGAGGCUCUGGUGAAAAAGGGUGCCAAGAAGCAGAGGCUACUGUGGGGUUCAACCAGUGUCAAGAACCCUGCCUACCCUGAUACUUUAUAUGUUGCGCCCCUCAUUGGACCUGACACAGUUUCGACUAUGCCCGACCAAGCUCUCCAAGCAUU